rnacentral:ncRNA from 2 species
GGGACCAACUCUGGAGAGCGGCCAUAUGGCCCACCGAAGGGGCGUGCGGGAUGCAAUAUCCCGUUAUCUCUCAGGUACCGAGGACAGAGGGGUAGAC